AUUUAGCUGACAAGUCCCAAAUGGGACAAAACGCACGUCCUGGAU
rnacentral:hammerhead_ribozyme from 1 species